AGAAAGAGAAGCAGCCCAGAUGAGAGAAAAGGUGCUUUAACUUUGAUUGCUGCAGAUUUUCUUGGCGUUUAAGUGCUGAUGAAGCAGGUCAGUCAAAACUGAAGAUCAGCUUUUGAUCAUGAAGAGGAGAUUAGGUCACAGAUGUUCAAUAAGGAAAGACCAUGUGAAGACACAAGAAGAUGGUCAUCUGCAAGCCAAGAGAAAUGUCUCAAAAGGAACUGGCCCUGCUGACAUCUUGACCUUGAAUUUCCAGCCUC
rnacentral:lncRNA from 1 species